rnacentral:tRNA from 3 species
GCAGUUGUGGCGGAAUUGGCAUACGCGCAUGAUUCAGGUUCAUGUCCGGGUUAACUGGGUGUGGGUUCAAGUCCCAUCAACUGCAUCA